ACGGAAGGCAGCAGUGGGGAAUAUUGCACAAUGGGGGAAACCCUGAUGCAGCGACGCCGCGUGAGUGAAGAAGUAUUUCGGUAUGUAAAGCUCUAUCAGCAGGGAAGAAAAUGACGGUACCUGACUAAGAAGCCCCGGCUAACUACGUGCCAGCAGCCGCGGUAAUAAGUAGGGGGCAAGCGUUAUCCGGAUUUACUGGGUGUAAAGGGAGCGUAGACGGUCUUGCAAGUCUGAUGUGAAAGGCAGGGGCUCAACUCCUGGACUGCAUUGGAAACUGUGAGUCUUGAGUGUCGGAGAGGUAAGCGGAAUUCCUAGUGUAGCGGUGAAAUGCGUAGAUAUUAGGAGGAACACCAGUGGCGAAGGCGGCUUACUGGACGAUAACUGACGUUGAGGCUCGAAAGCGUGGGGAGCAAACAGGAUUAGAUACCCUGGUA
rnacentral:rRNA from 1 species